GGUGGGGCUUCCUUUAUGAAAACGUCCUAAAGUCACAACAUUGUUCAGUUCCUCUAAGUCCGUCUUCGUCUUCACAUCUCUUGCUUUGCUGGAGAAUCCCUUCUAAGCAGCAGCAGCAGCACCAUGGCACAGGUCACAGUGGAGUACUGGUGAGUAGUAGAAAGACUGCUAUCACGCUACUGCUACUUAAAACAGUCUAACACCAAGUUCUCUGAUUAUUGUCACAGUCAAGGAUGAGGCUACCAGCAGUAUUUUAACCAAGUGUAUUCUUGGGUUAAAUACUACAGUCCAAAUGCACAGGUGUCCGGCCGCAUUGGGAGGCCAAGUGAGCAGCUGUUUGACGACUUCUUUGACUAUAAAUGUUGGUGCGUGUGAGCGAGACUUGCCAACCCUGUUCUGUGCUUUCAGACAGCUUUGAGGUGUCGGUAAACAACAAGGUGAUCUACUCCAAGCUUCAGAAUGGAUCCUUUCCCAAUCCUCAGUGGGUGGGCACCAUGGUGCAGUCAUCAUGUGGAGGAUACACUGCACCAGUGCAGCAGAGAAGAUCCUGACGUUAAAGACGCAGGGAUGAAAACAGCAGCUGGACUCACACCGAGGACAGUGGCUGCUUUUAUCUCUGCUACUACGAGCAGCAUUUAAAACAUCUCAAAUGUUGCAUCUGCUAUAGCAUGAUUCCAUCCUGGUGCACAGUAGGGGUUGAUGGGAGAAGCUCUGGGUGAAUGGGACGCUGGGCUGCACUUCUGUUUAUGAUUGUUCACGCUUAAAACACAGGCGGUGUGAACAUGAUGCUAAUCCAGAAGCUGCUCAGCAGACCAGUCUGACCAGGACACACACACACACACACGCACACACACACACACACACACACACACACACACACACACACACACACGCACACACACACACACACACACACACACACACACAGGGAAUGGGGAAACUACUCACUUUCUAUCUGACUAUAAAUCAAAUAUUUUUUCUCCAUUGCCAUGACAACUGCUGUAUCAUAAAUUAAACUUGCGGAAAACAUACGGUAAAGGCCUACAAGCUUUCUAAUAUAAAUGUGAUGGUGGAGGGUGAAUUUAUGAUCAAACAUGUUUAAUACUGAGUUCUAGAUAUGAGGUGAACUGUUCUGUAUGUGGGUGUGAAAGUUCUAAAAGUCAUUUCUGGGUGUUUUAUAGAUUUUGGUAAAUAGUUUUAAGGCACUGGAGCAUCUAAGUGUAAUCUCACUCUGACAUAACGUAAUUACGGUCCUGAAAUUCAAUAAAAUAAAACUUAUAAGAUUUGGACUCUGUGUG
rnacentral:lncRNA from 1 species